rnacentral:sRNA from 1 species
AGCUGCCUGGCGGGCGACCCAGCCCCAUCCUGAUGGCCCCAGGACACAAGCCCAGGAGCGCCCCGGUGCGCGCGGUGGCGCGGCCCAGGGGCGCCGGGUUUGGUGGCACAGCGAGCCCCCUUUCUCUCGCGAAACCUGUUUCCCUCAAACCUUGUGGUUGCAGCUUUCCGUACGUAUGCCACCGAUUAUAAAGUCAUGACCCACAACAGCAGCUCUGGAAAUGUAACCCAUGAAAAGAUCCCCAUAGGCACUGAGAUAGAAGGGAUGAACAUUUUAGGAUUGGUCCUGUUUGCUCUGGUGUUAGGAGUGGCCUUAAAGAAACUAGGCUCCGAAGGAGAAGACCUCAUCCGUUUCUUCAAUUCCCUCAAUGAGGCAACGAUGGUGCUGGUGUCCUGGAUUAUGUGCUCAGCGACCCUUCCCUCUAUGAUGAAGUGCAUUGAAGAGAACAAUGGUGUGGACAA